GGUCCGAUGUGCCCAAGGUGGGGUCAAACCCAGCUCCCUCAAAAGCCUGCAGAAAAGUCUCUCCUGUUACGCGGUCCUGAGCAUCACCAGCACAGGCUAUGAAGGAGGAUAUCAGACGUAUCUGAAGACACUGCUGGGGAAUAGCACCACCUCAGUUGUUUGGUUUCCAGGAGAUGCUUAACGAAGACCAACUCCGUGGCAAUGAGGUUCCGUUCACAAGCCUGCUCAACAUGGGGUCUGUCCUAUCUUCCUCCGCCCUCCCCCCCUCCACCACCAAGCAGGGAUUGAGAAAUUUUUUUUAAAAGUGAAACCUUUGGACUUUAUAGCGAAGCAUCCAACCUGGUACUUACCAAGAGAAACUGAAGGGGAAACACCAAAGAGCUGCUCUACUGAAUCACACAAGCUAUUGGGAUUAUUUGCAGGCAUGUCUCUGGAUCUCCUUAUUUUUUUUUCAGCCAAGCCCAAUGUGUGGUACAAAAACUGCGCCCAAGGAGUUGGUGAAUAAAUGAAUAAAUGAAUGAA